UGGGGAAUUUUGGACAAUGGGCGAAAGCCUGAUCCAGCAAUGCCGCGUGUGUGAAGAAGGCCUUCGGGUUGUAAAGCACUUUUGUCCGGAAAGAAAUCCUUGGCUCUAAUACAGUCGGGGGAUGACGGUACCGGAAGAAUAAGCACCGGCUAACUACGUGCCAGCAGCCGCGGUAAUACGUAGGGUGCAAGCGUUAAUCGGAAUUACUGGGCGUAAAGCGUGCGCAGGCGGUUUGCUAAGACCGAUGUGAAAUCCCCGGGCUCAACCUGGGAACUGCAUUGGUGACUGGCAGGCUAGAGUAUGGCAGAGGGGGGUAGAAUUCCACGUGUAGCAGUGAAAUGCGUAGAGAUGUGGAGGAAUACCGAUGGCGAAGGCAGCCCCCUGGGCCAAUACUGACGCUCAUGCACGAAAGCGUGGGGAGCAAAACAGGAUUAGAUACCCUGGUAGUCCACGCCCUAAACGAUGUCAACUAGUUGUUGGGGAUUCAUUUCCUUAGUAACGUAGCUAACGCGUGAAGUUGACCGCCUGGGGAGUACGGUCGCAAGAUUAAAACUCAAAUGAAUUG
rnacentral:rRNA from 1 species